rnacentral:rRNA from 1 species
CUAGCGACUUCAGAGUUUGAUCCUGGCUCAGGAUGAACGCUGGCGGCGUGCUUAACACAUGCAAGUCGAACGAAGCACUUUAGUUGAUUUCUUCGGAUUGAUUCUAAAGUGACUUAGUGGCGGACGGGUGAGUAACGCGUGGGUAACCUGCCUCGUACAGGGGGAUAACAGUUAGAAAUGACUGCUAAUACCGCAUAACCCGCUAAGGUCGCAUGACCUAGACGGAAAAGAUUUAUCGGUACGAGAUGGACCCGCGUCUGAUUAGCUAGUUGGUGAGGUAACGGCCCACCAAGGCGACGAUCAGUAGCCGGCCUGAGAGGGUGACCGGCCACAUUGGGACUGAGACACGGCCCAA